rnacentral:rRNA from 1 species
CCUACGGGAGGCAGCAGUAAGGAAUAUUGGUCAAUGGAGGCAACUCUGAACCAGCCAUGCCGCGUGCAGGAUGACGGCCCUAUGGGUUGUAAACUGCUUUUAUACAAGAGAAAACCCUGGUACGUGUACCAGGUUGAUAGUAUUGUAAGAAUAAGCAUCGGCUAACUUCGUGCCAGCAGCCGCGGUAAGACGAAGGAUGCAAGCGUUAUCCGGAUUCAUUGGGUUUGAAGGGUGCGUAGGCGGACUGAUAAGUCAGUGGUGAAAUCUCUUUGCUUAACAAAGAAACUGCCAUUGAUACUGUCGGUCUAGAGUAUAGAUGACGUUGGCGGAAUAUGACAUGUAGUGGUGAAAUACUUAGAUAUGUCAUAGAACACCGAUUGCGAAGGCAGCUAACGAAACUAUAACUGACGCUGAGGCACGAAAGUGCGGGGAUCAAACAGGAUUAGAUACCCUGGUAGUCCGCACCGUAACGANANAUACUCUGUGUGNUAUNNAGNGNGCGACCGACGACGAAGACGAGUAAGUAAUACUUACGUUGGUAGGUUACGGCCGGCGACGGAGACGACGAGGAGUUAGACGGCGAGAGAGCGACGGACGACGACGAGGAGGAGGAG